rnacentral:rRNA from 1 species
GCGUGGAUGAUGAAGGCCUUCGGGUCGUAAAAUCCUUUUCUGGGGGAAGAGGAAGGACGGUACCUCAGGAAUAAGUCUCGGCUAGCUAUGUGCCAGCAGCCGCGGUAAGACAUAGGAGGCAAGCGUUAUCCGGAUUUACUGGGCGUAAAGGGCGUUGAGGCGGUCUUGUAAGUUGGACGUGAAAGCUCCUGGCUCAACUAGGAGAGGCCGUUCAAUACUGCGAGACUUGAGGACAGCAGAGGGGGGUGGAAUUCCCGGUGUAGUGGUGAAAUGCGUAGAGAUCGGGAGGAACACCAGUGGCGAAGGCGGCCCCCUGGGCUGCUCCUGACGCUGAAUGCGAAAGCUAGGGUAGCAAACGGGAUUAGAAACCCCGGUAGUCCUAGCCGUAAACGAUGGAUACUAGGUGUGGGGGGGUUAGAUACCCUCUGUGCCGGAGCUAACGCGGUAAGUAUCCCGCCUGGGGACUACGGUCGCAAGGCUAAAACUCAAAGGAAUUGACGGGGGUCCGCACAAGCAGCGGAGCGUGUGGUUUAAUUCGAUGCAACGCGAAGAACCUUACCAGGGCUUGACAUGCAAGUAGUAGUGAAGCGAAAGCGGAACGAUCCUUCGGGAAGGUUGCUCAGGUGCUGCAUGGCUGUCGUCAGCUCUUGCCGUGAGGCGUUAGGUUAAGUCCUGUAUCGAGCGCAACCCUUGCCGUUAGUUACAAGUGUCUAACGGGACCGCCCGGCUCAACUGGGAGGAAGGUGGGGAUGACGUUAAAUCAGCAUGGUCUUUUUGUCCUGGGGUA